CACACACCAAGGACCCAGUGAAUAUUUGUUGAAUGAGUGAAUGAUGCUCACACAGCCAUCAAAGAAAGAGAAGCCUCACUAAGAGCUCUAAGGAAAGGUUCCACUCCCCAACCAUUUCUGUACAGCCUGGAAAGUAGUGAAAGCAUAUAAAACCAGCACUGAGGAAACUUACCCAGGAGGUCAGAUGCAAUCUGUCUACCAAGGAUGGAAAAAUGACAAGGCAAGGUGGAAAAAAAGUGGCAUAUGCCUAGACUGUCCCCAGCCUCCUAAAAUGGUGCAAUGCUGCAAAAACAACCAUAAUCCCUCGUUGCUGGGCAAUGGACAGCGUCACAAAUCAAACUCUCUUCGUUUUUGCAUCUACUUAUCUAGCUUAAUGCUGAGACGGUCACAAACAAAGAAGAUAUUCGUUAUAUAAAUGGGGUGGCUAAUGUACUUCAGGAAAUUUUUAGAUCUUACUUGGUGUUUAUGUGUACUUUUUGUGUUUUUAAUGUUGAAAAAGAUACAAAUUAUUUAGAGCUGAAAUUAAAAUUACAUUAAAAAAUUCAAUCUAACCUUAUUACCUUGUGAUAAACAUGAGUCUUAGAAAAACCUCUCUGUUGAUGUUUUCCACAUGAAUGAUUUCUAGCAGAUGACCUCAAGUUAUAAGGUGACAGAUUUAUAAAAUCACAGAAUGGUCUUCUCAUUUUAAGAGAAAAUUUAGAUUGUUGUUUGCUUUUAUUACUCUCCCUAAACUCUGAGGGAACACAAAUUUAAAGAAAACUUUCUCAAUCCAGAUACAUAAUUAGUAUAUUUCCAGUUCUCCUCAAUGUAUGCCUAGUCCUUUAUAGCUGCUAAGAAUACUAUUCAUAGCAUCUUUCAAAAGUAUCAUAAGGCUGUUAUGUCCAUUAUCAAUUAUAAUGGCUAUAUUAUAUAUGACGUAUCAACAUUCAGUCCAAAAGCACUAUUACCUCUGAACAGAUUGUUUUUCUGCAAUUAGGUGCUGUACACUAAGCUAGCUAAGAAAAUAAGCAUUGGCCCCAUGUACCCAGGCUCUACAUAAUAGCAUUGUUGUGAAGGAAAAUGAGCAAAAUGGAUCUAUGAGCACUUUGGGGGAAAAGAAACAAUGGUGCUAUACAUAGACAAAGAAUUAUAAUAAAAAUAAUAACAGCCAUCAGAUCUGACCUAAUGAAAAUUGGACAGCAGAACUAAAAGCAAUUUCAAAAACGCUAAUAACUAUCUUCUUCCUCUUCUUUUUCCUUGGUUCCCAUGGCAAUCCAUAUUUUCAUAUGAGGCCCACAAUUUGGGCCUUUUUUGGGCAAUUAGCCUCCCAUUUGUCCAAUUCUCUUUACCUGACUCUUCAAAAGUCCCCUACCGACUUUCCAUUUAACCAAAUAUCCAAGUCAAUUCAACUAAACAGCUAGUUAGCUCAGUAAAAAUAGUGUAAUUACAUUAAGAUGUGAUCAUUUCAAGAUGAUAUUUAAGAAGUUGGGCAGAAGUGAACUCUUCAAAUGAUAUUAUCAGUAAUAUGAUCAGUUAUGUAAACUAGGAAUGGGUUUCUUUGGGUGCAAAUGGCAACUUUAGGAAAGACAGUUAGGCAGCAUUGGUGCUAAAAGAAGGAAAAUCAACAGAAAUAAGUGCUACAGGAAGAGUAAAGACUUUAUUAUUCUGGUGAUUUUAAAAAAUUAUUUCUAAAAUUAUGAUAUGUAUAUAUGAAAUGUAACUCAUCAUAUGAACUAUAAACUAUUCACUUACACACACUGUAUAGAUAUACAUUUUCUUUCUGCUGCUUUGCUUUACCUAUUCAAACCAG
rnacentral:lncRNA from 1 species